CUUUUACUAAACCUACUCCCUUCCACCCUGAAAUUUGAAAGCGCUGACCCAAAUCUGAUGAUUAGGGGGAAGCUUCCUUUCAGGCUUUUCACCAAAUUCCAGCUCACCUGUUUAGAGCGUAUGCGAACGCCCACGCGCUUCAAAGUGAAAUGGGGCAGGACAUGGUUGGGUGCUGACGAGUUGCCAGGCAAAAAAAUCCCUCGAGUGGGAUAGAAAGUGAUUCUAUUCCAGUUGCCGUCGUCAUUUUCCUCAUUAAGGUUUUGUGAUUAAUGGAAUUGCUGGGCUUCCGGAUUAAGACAGAUAUAUUUUUUGCCAAGUCUUUUCUUAUUUCGUGUUUAGGAUGUCAUUUGGUAAUAAGCAAUAGAAGUUUGGAUUUGCUUUUGAAAAGGUUUUGUGGGUUUUGGUUGUUUUGAACUUGGAGCAGAGACGAAUUUGCUGAUAUUGUUUUUGGUUGCUCUUCCAUGCAAUCGUAUGAAUUUUUGAAAUGGUAUUUGACUAGAGUCUGAAUCAGAGCUCUAAAAGCUUUGAUUUAUUUUGAUAUUUAUUAUUAUUAUUAUUAUUAUUAUUAUUAUUAUUAUUAUCAAUGGGAAAGCCUACUGGAAGGAAGAAGAAGCAGGUGGGAUCGAAGCCUAGUAAUGGCAACGUGAAGCACAGCAAAGCUUCCGAUCGAACAGCUAAAGCCUUCGAUGAAGACACGGCUGUGUUCGUCGCCAUGUCCCAAGAGCUGAAGGAAGAAGGAAACAAACUCUUCCAGAGGCGCGAUCACGAAGGCGCCAUUUUGAGGUAUGAGAAAGCCCUGAAGUUGCUUCCCCGUAGCCACAUAGACGUCGCCCACCUGCGCACUAACAUGGCGGCGUGCUUUAUGCAAAUGGGUCUCGGCGAAUACCCGCGGGCGAUCAAUGAGUGCAAUUUAGCGCUCGAAGUGGCGCCCAGGUAUAGCAAGGCGCUGGUGAGGAGGGCGAGGUGUUAUGAGGCUUUGAAUAGGCUUAAUUUUGCUUUGAGGGAUGCUCACAGCGUUUUAAGCGUUGAACCAAACAACAUGACGGCGCUGGAGAUUGCUGGUAGAGUGAAGAAGACUAUGGAGGACAGGGGUGAUAAGGUGGACGAUAAAGAGAUUGUUUUGACUGCGGCAUUUGUGGAGUCGCCGCUGAGUAAAGUCGUGAAAGAAAAGGGGAAGAAGAAGAAGAGUGGGAAAGUUGAGGAAAAGAAAGUGGAUGAUAGGUUGGUGGCGGGGAAGAGUCUUGGUGUUGUGAAGGAAGAGAAGGUAAAGGUUCGUGCAGAGGAGAAUGGUAGUGUUGUGAAGGAAAAAGAAGUUGUCACAAAGACAGUGAAGUUGGUUUUGGGGGAGGAUAUAAGGUGGGCGCAGUUGCCAGUGAAUUGUAGUAUCAAUAUAGUAAGGGAUGUAGUUUUGGAUAGAUUUCCAAGCUUGAAGGGCAUUCUUAUUAAGUAUAGGGAUCCAGAAGGUGAUUUGGUUACAAUUACUAGGACUGAUGAACUGAGGAUGGUUGAAUCAUUAAGUGGUUCACAGGGUUCUCUCAGAUUUUACAUUACUGAAGUUAAUCCGGAUCAAGAACCCGUAUAUGAGGGAAUGAGCAAUGGGGUGGUGGGGUGCAAGGAUGACAGGAAAGCUACAAAUGUUUCUGCAGAUGGGAAUUUGGGAAAUGGUAGGGAAAUGGAGAAGAAGUCAAGUUGUAUUGAUGAUUGGAUUGUUCAGUUUGCUGGGUUGUUCAAGAACCAUGUUGGGUUCAAUUCUGAUUCAUAUUUGGACCUUCAUGAGCUUGGGAUGAAAUUAUACUCGGAAGCAAUGGAGGAUACUUUCUCAAGUGAAGAGGCCCAAGAACUCUUUGAAAUUGCAGCGGAGAAGUUUCAAGAGAUGGCAGCUUUAGCCUUGUUCAAUUGGGGAAAUGUUCAUAUGUCUAGGGCGAGAAAGCGAGUAUUCUUUUCAGAAGAUGGUUCGAGGGAAUCUAUGCUUGCGCAGAUCAAAACUGCCUAUGAUUGGGCGUAUGAAGAGUAUAAAAAAGCAGGAAUGAGGUAUGAAGAAGCUCUGAAAAUUAAACCAGACUUUUAUGAAGGUUGUCUUGCACUUGGGCAGCAACAGUUUGAGCAGGCAAAACUUUGUUGGUAUUAUGCCAUUGGGAGCAAGGUUAAUAUGGAGCCAGGGCCUUCUUCCGAGGUCCUGCAGCUUUAUAACAAGGCUGAGGACAGCAUGGAGAAGGGAAUGCAAAUGUGGGAGGAGAUGGAAGAGCAGCGUCUAAAUGGACUAAGCAAAUCAGAUAAAUAUAAAGCCCAACUACAACAGAUGGGUUUGGAUUCUCUUUUUAAAGAAGAAUCUGUGGAUGAAGCUGCUGAGCAAGCUGCAAACAUGAGGUCGCAGAUAUACCUUUUGUGGGGUACCUUGCUGUAUGAGCGUUCUAUUGUGGAAUUCAAGCUGGGGCUACCAGGCUGGGAAGAAUGUUUGGAGGUCGCGGUUGAAAAAUUUGAACUUGCUGGAGCCUCUCCAACGGAUAUUGCUGUCAUGAUAAAGAACCAUUGUUCCAAUGAAGCUGCAUCAGAAGGAUUAGGAUUCAAAAUUGAUGAGAUAGUGCAGGCAUGGAAUGAGAUGUACGAUGCUAAAAGAUGGCAGAUUGGUACUCCAUCUUUCAGGCUGGAACCAUUAUUUCGCCGGCAGGUUCCAAAACUUCAUUAUAUCUUGGAGCAGUUUUGAGUUUUUGUUUGUGAUUGUUCAUUCUUGGAGACAUUAAUUGGUGUAUUCAUGUUAUUACUCCAUUUUCCCUGAGCUGGGCUGCUGCUGCCAACUAGAACAGGUUUUUUUUUUCUCCAUCAGUCAUGUUCUGCUUCAGCUGAUUGCUUUUGGGAAGUGAAGAUUGAGCUAGUUGUCAUGUGUUGGUUUGGGAAUGGGAGUGGCCUUUUGAUUGGGCCAGGUUAUUCAUUUUUCUUUUCUUGGUUGGUUUUUCCUUGAAGGCCAUCAAGUGGCAGGAGUUUCGUUUUUUUAGAGUCACAGGAGAGUUCAUGGUUUGAGAAAGUAAGUUUAUGAUGGGAUUCAGAAAGUCAUUAAAAGAAUGGCUGGCUAGAGCAUUGUAUUCUAUAAUAACCAUAGAGGUUUGUUGUUCAAUAUAUGUUCUCAGUUUGCUCAUCUGUAAACGAUUUUUUGUGUUUUUUAUAUAGCAGUAUACAGCUAUCUCUA